AACGAACGCUGGCGGCAGGCUUAACACAUGCAAGUCGAACGAGAUCUUCGGAUCUAGUGGCAGACGGGUGAGGAACACGUGGGAACAUCCCUUUCAGUUCGGAAUAACGUUGGGAAACUAACGCUAAUACCGGAUACGUCCUUCGGGAGAAAGAUUUAUCGCUGAAAGAUUGGCCCGCGUCUGAUUAGCUAGUUGGUGAGGUAAUGGCUCACCAAGGAUACGAUCAGUAGCUGAUCUGAGAGGAUGAUCAGCCACAUUGGGACUGAGACACGGCCCAAACUCCGACGGGAGGCAGCAGUGGGGAAUAUGGGACAAUGGGCGCAAGCCUGAUCCAGCCAUGCCGCGUGAGUGAUGACGGCCUUCGGGUUGUAAAGCUCUUUUGUCCGGGAAGAUAAUGACUGUACCGGAAGAAUAAGCCCCGGCAAACUUCGUGCCAGCCGCCGCAGUAA
rnacentral:rRNA from 1 species